rnacentral:rRNA from 1 species
UACGUAGGUGGCAAGCGUUGUCCGGAAUUAUUGGGCGUAAAGCGCGCGCAGGCGGUCCUUUAAGUCUGAUGUGAAAGCCCACGGCUCAACCGUGGAGGGUCAUUGGAAACUGGGGGACUUGAGUGCAGGAGAGAAGAGUGGAAUUCCACGUGUAGCGGUGAAAUGCGUAGAGAUGUGGAGGAACACCAGUGGCGAAGGCGCUCUUUGGCCUGUAAACUGACUGAGGCGCGAAAGCGUGG